rnacentral:rRNA from 1 species
AGUGAACGCUGGCGGUAGGCCUAACACAUGCAAGUCGAACGGCAGCACAGUAAGAGCUUGCUCUUACGGGUGGCGAGUGGCGGACGGGUGAGGAAUACAUCGGAAUCUACUUUUUCGUGGGGGAUAACGUAGGGAAACUUACGCUAAUACCGCAUACGACCUACGGGUGAAAGCAGGGGAUCUUCGGACCUUGCGCGAUUGAAUGAGCCGAUGUCGGAUUAGCUAGUUGGCGGGGUAAAGGCCCACCAAGGCGACGAUCCGUAGCUGGUCUGAGAGGAUGAUCAGCCAAACUGGAACUGAGACACGGUCCAGACUCCUACGGGAGGCAGCAGUGGGGAAUAUUGGACAAUGGGCGCAAGACUGAUCCAGCCAUACCGCGUGGGUGAAGAAGGCCUUCGGGUUGUAAAGCCCUUUUGUUGGGAAAGAAAAGCAGCAGGUUAAUACCCCGCUGUUCUGACGGUACCCAAAGAAUAAGCACCGGCUAACUUCGUG